rnacentral:rRNA from 1 species
AUUGAACGCUGGCGGCAUGCCUUACACAUGCAAGUCGAACGGCAGCACGGGGCAACCUGGUGGCGAGUGGCGAACGGGUGAGUAAUGCAUCGGAACGUGCCAUUGAGUGGGGGAUAACGUAGCGAAAGUUGCGCUAAUACCGCAUAUUCUGUGAGCAGGAAAGCAGGGGACCGCAAGGCCUUGCGCUCUUUGAGCGGCCGAUGUCAGAUUAGCUAGUUGGUGAGGUAACGGCUUACCAAGGCGACGAUCUGUAGCGGGUCUGAGAGGAUGAUCCGCCACACUGGAACUGAGACACGGUCCAGACUCCUACGGAGGCAGCAGUGGGAAUUUUGGACAAUGGGCGCAAGCCUGAUCCAGCCAUGCCGCGUGAGUGAAGAAGGCCUCGGUUGUAAG